rnacentral:rRNA from 1 species
UGGGGAAUUUUGCGCAAUGGGGGAAACCCUGACGCAGCAACGCCGCGUGAGUGAUGAAGGCUUUCGGGUGGUAAAGCUCGUUCAGAGGGAAAGAAAUGUGUGCGGUUAAUAACCGUUACACUUGACGGUACCCUCAAAG